UGGCUCAGUGGUUAAGAGCACUGACUCUUCUUCCAGAAGACCUGGGUUCAAUUCCCAG
rnacentral:tRNA from 1 species